rnacentral:rRNA from 1 species
CAGUCGCCGCGGUAAUACGAAGGGGGCUAGCGUUGCUCGGAAUGACUGGGCGUAAAGGGCGCGUAGGCGGCGAUCAAAGUCAGGUGUGAAAUUCCUGGGCUCAACCUGGGGGCUGCGUUUGAUACUUGAUUGCUAGAGUGGGGAAGAGGGUCGUGGAAUUCCCAGUGUAGAGGUGAAAUUCGUAGAUAUUGGGAAGAACACCGGUGGCGAAGGCGGCAACCUGGUCCAUAACUGACGCUGAGGCGCGAAAGCGUGGGGAGCAAACAGGAUUAGAUACCCCCGUAGUCCCUGUCUCUUAUAC